CCUUUGAAGCAAAUGAAUGAAUGUUUGAUGGAAAGAACUAAAAAUAAAUCCUCUGUUUAUGUUCAGAAACUUUCAAAUACAUUUUCUGCAGAAAGGAGUUUUGUUCUAAUGUGAUUCCACUGAUUCUUUCGUUCUUUCUGGUGGGAUUAUCUGUGUGUGUGUGUGUGUGUGUGUGAGAGAGAGAGAGAGAGAGAGAGAGAAAACACACUGAGUCUGCGCGCUGGGGGAGGAGUAUCUAUGUCACACUCCCUCUCUCUCUCUCUCUGUCUUUCUCCUUCUGCUCUAUACUUGCAGUUUUUCCGCCCUCUCACUUCUCCCUUUUUAUUUCUCUCUCUCUCUCUCUCUCGCGCGAGUGCAAGGCCAUGUGGGACGUCUGAUGAGGAGUUUCACCCCUCCAUGUAUCUAGUUUCAUAUCUCUCUUUCCCUCUCCACCGUUCUUUCGCUUUCCAUACGGGUUCCUCAAGCUCCACUGUCUUUGCAAGGUGGAGACCCGCUGGAGACUAGUUUUAAGAGUGUAAGGGGGGAAAGGGGGAAAGAAAAAAAAACAGGCUUUUUCUUUUUGCCACGAGGGCCUCCUGACUAGAGUGCGACAGAGGCUUCACCACAAGCCCCUUCCAUUUUCCAGCACAAUUUAGUGUGCUUUUUCAUGCACCCAAUUGCGGAAUUUCAGCAAGAUUUGCGACUGCGUUCGGUUCACGAAGUGCCUAUUUUGACAUGUUCUUUUUCAAUUUCAGCGAGUGGAGUCGAAUUCCACUCGGACCUGCAGCCUAUGGCAGCGUAGUGCCAGGCCAAUCAGAUCACUGAUAACCUGCUGGAUUUGCCAUUUGGAAGUACUGGCCUGCGACUUACCCAUUUCCGAUCCGACAUUGGAUUCAGGAGUGAAGCUGCUCCACUUUGGGACAAGUGCCAGUUGCAAAAAGGCGAGUGAAAAUAUCAAUGAUCUGCAUGAGGAAACAUUGAGGGUGAGCGGAAAACACAAACUCACAAAUGUCGGUGCAACUAUUGCAGAAAAAAGUGAAGAAUGGUUGAAAGGGGAAGGGAAGACACAAAAUAUGGAUCGUAAAAGAUGAGGUGAUGUGUUUAUUCAAGCCUGUUUGAUGCACCUCGGGCCUUCAAGAGUUGAUUGCAUGUGCCGUGGCAACUGUGGGACUAUUUGCAUGCAGCAGACACGCUAAUUGUGUGUUUGCUAACAUGCACUAUUCAGCACGAUGCACUCCGGUCUUAGACGGGGUUCACACACGCCUUCCAGACGUCCUGGAGGCCUCCUAUUGUUCCAGAGGCCCAGCCAAGCAGCAGGCAAGCCUAACCAGAGCCCCGCGAAGGCCUGCCGAGAGGCGAAGCUGGAAUUCAAGACCAGACGGGAUAGCGGGAGAGUGAACAGACUCACAGCCCCUCUCUCUCUUUCACUCCGCAGCAGGAAAAAAGAGGCCUGUGGGAAGUGCUACCUCCAGGCACUGAUGUCCUCGCAGAUGUGUGCACAAGAGGAGUUGCAAGAUUCUGCUUUGCACAGGCUCACUGUAACCACACGAUCACCACAGUCGUCAUUAUAUGAAAGGAGCAGAAGGAAGACUCCACAGAUGAGUUUGAGCAGCAUGCGGUGAGUAAAUAGGAUGCAGCUGCUCGCCUUCAUGAACACACCAGACCAGAGACAUGGACCAGACGUCUUUUCUGGCCUCACACUAAAUCACUUUCUCACAUUGUAUCAGUCACAGGGAGCUGAGGAAACUCUGGCGUUAACAAGGUGGAGUCUUUGGUGGAACAAUGUGCCACAGAUCUGGUCAUUGUCUCGCAUUAUAACAAGUACAGUGAACGUUUGGGGGAAAUUAUGAAGAAAUAAGGUGGAAACAGUUGUUUGAAGGAUAGCGAGGAGGAAGUCAGAGCGAGGCUGUUGUUGGUACAGUGUGAGUUCACUGGGAACCUGAUCCGGCCCUCACUGAUUGAUCAUUGCUCCACAUUCCUCCACCCUUUGAAGACUGUGGUCAGAUUCAACGCCAGCCUGACCAAACCCUUCCAGAGCCUCAUUGUGUCCAAAUCCUGUGCGUCUGCCUGCGAGGGUCGCUGUAGAGAUGCUCAUUAUUUAAUGUUUGCUCCACCGGAUACUGCCUUUACUGCUGUGCUCUGGACAGAACAAACUGUAGGGCUUUAGCAAAGAAGAGUCCCUUGAGCUGUUUAAUGUGCAAUUACUACAUUAUUUGGUAAAUGUGUUUCCAGCCUACGCACUUAAUCUUUUUUUAUCCUAAAAAAAAUAAAAAAUAAAAAUAAUAAUGCACAUUUUAAUUUUUACAUUUUUUAUUUGUUUGUUUCUCUUAUUUGUUUCUAAUCCAGCAUUUUUGAUACAAAAGCCCAAAAUUUGAAUA